GACGAACGCUGGCGGCAUGCCUAAUACAUGCAGUCGAGCGAACAGAUGAAGUGCUUGCACUUCUGACGUUAGCGGCGAACGGGUGAGUAACACGUAAGGAAUCUACCUAUAAGCGGGGGAUAACAUUCGGAAACGGGUGCUAAUACCGCAUAAUAUCUUCUUCCGCAUGGAAGAAGAUUGAAAGACGGCUCUGCUGUCACUUAUAGAUGACCUUGCGGUGCAUUAGUUAGUUGGUGGGGUAAUGGCCUACCAAGACGAUUAUGCAUAGCCGACCUGAGAGGGUGAUCGGCCACAUUGGGACUGAGACACGGCCCAAACUCCGACGGGAGGCAGCAGUAGGGAAUCUUCCGCAAUGGGCGAAAGCCUGACGGAGCAAUGCCGCGUGAGUGAAGAAGGCCUUCGGGUCGUAAAACUCUGUUAUAAGAGAAGAACAAAUUGUAGAGUAACUGCUACAGUCUUGACGGUAUCUUAUCAGAAAGCCACGGCUAACUACGUGCCAGCCGCCGCGGUAA
rnacentral:rRNA from 1 species